rnacentral:rRNA from 1 species
CCUACGGUGCGCAGCAGUGGGGAAUAUUGCACAAUGGGGGAAACCCUGAUGCAGCGACGCCGCGUGAGUGAAGAAGCGUUUCGGCGCGUAAAGCUCUGUCAGCGGGGAAGAAACACGGUUCGCGAGAGCCGCGAACGGUACCCGACCAAGAAGCCCCGGCUAACUACGUGCCAGCAGCCGCGGUAAUACGUAGGGGGCAAGCGUUAUCCGGAUGCACUGGGUGUAAAGGGAGCGUAGACGGGGAGACCAGUAUUGAGUGAAAGGCCUGGGCCCAACCCCGGGACUGCUCUGGAAACUGCCUGGAUGGAGGACAGGAGAGGUAAGGGGAAUUCCUAGUGUAGCGGUGAAAUGCGGAGAUAUUAGGAGGAACACAAGUGGCGAAGGCGGCUUACUGGACUGUAACUGACGUUGAGGCUCAAAAGCGUGGGGAGCAAACAGGAUUAGAUACCCGGGUAGUC